rnacentral:rRNA from 1 species
GAAACGACUGCUAAUACCGCAUGACGCAUAGAGGUCGCAUGAUCUUUAUGCCAAAGAUUUAUCGCUUCAAGAUGGCCUCGCGUCUGAUUAGCUGGUUGGCGGGGUAACGGCUCACCAAGGCGACGAUCAGUAGCCGGACUGAGAGGUUGAACGGCCACAUUGGGACUGAGAUACGGCCCAGACUCCUACGGGAGGCAGCAGUGGGGAAUAUUGGGCAAUGGGCGCAAGCCUGACCCAGCAACGCCGCGUGAAGGAAGAAGGCUUUCGGGUUGUAAACUUCUUUUAAGAGGGAAGAGCAGAAGACGGUACCUCUAGAAUAAGCCACGGCUAACUACGUGCCAGCAGCCGCGGUAAUACGUAGGUGGCAAGCGUUGUCCGGAUUUACUGGGUGUAAAGGGCGUGCAGCCGGGUCUGCAAGUCAGAUGUGAAAUCCAUGGGCUCAACCCAUGAACUGCAUUUGAAACUGUAGAUCUUGAGUGUCGGAGGGGCAAUCGGAAUUCCUAGUGUAGCGGUGAAAUGCGUAGAUAUUAGGAGGAACACCAGUGGCGAAGGCGGAUUGCUGGACGAUAACUGACGGUGAGGCGCGAAAGUGUGGGGAGCAAACAGGAUUAGAUACCCUGGUAGUCCACACUGUAAACGAUGAAUACUAGGUGUGCGGGGACUGACCCCCUGCGUGCCGCAGUAAACACAAUAAGUAUUCCACCUGGGGAGUA